UGAGGAAUAUUGCGCAAUGGGGGCAACCCUGACGCAGCAACGCCGCGUGAGCGAGGAAGGUUUUCGGACCGUAAAGCUCUGUCGAGCGGGAAGAAAUGCAUGGUGGCUAAUAUCCAUCAUGCUUGACGGUACCGCUAAAGGAAGCACCGGCUAACUCCGUGCCAGCAGCCGCGGUAAUACGGGGGGUGCGAGCGUUGUUCGGAAUUAUUGGGCGUAAAGAGCGUGUAGGCGGCCGAAUAAGUCAGAUGUGAAAUCCCUGAGCUUAACCCAGGACGUGCAUUUGAAACUAUUCGGCUGGAGUAGGGGAGAGGAAAGUGGAAUUCCUGGUGUAGAGGUGAAAUUCGUAGAUACCAGGAGGAACACCGGUGGCGAAGGCGACUUUCUGGCCCUAUACUGACGCUGAGACGCGAGAGCGUGGGUAGCAAACAG
rnacentral:rRNA from 1 species